rnacentral:rRNA from 1 species
GUCCACGCUGUAAACGAUGAGAACUAGAUGCUUGUUUGUUAAAUCAAGUGGGUAUCGAAGCUAACGCAUUAAGUUCUCCGCCUGGGGAGUACGGUCGCAAGAUUAAAACUCAAAGGAAUUGACGGGGGCCCGCACAAGCGGUGGAGCAUGUGGUUUAAUUCGAUGCAACGCGAAGAACCUUACCUACCCUUGACAUGCCAGGAAGUUUCCAGAGAUGGGAACGUGCCCGCGAGGGAACCUGGACACAGGUGCUGCAUGGCG